GACGAACGCUGGCGGCGCGCCUAACACAUGCAAGUCGAACGAGCGAGAGAGAGCUUGCUUUCUCGAGCGAGUGGCGAACGGGUGAGUAACGCGUGAGGAACCUGCCCCAAAGAGGGGGACAACAGUUGGAAACGACUGCUAAUACCGCAUAAGCCCACGGCUCGGCAUCGAGCAGGGGGAAAAGGAGCAAUCCGCUUUGAGAUGGCCUCGCGUCCGAUUAGCUAGUUGGUGAGGUAACGGCCCACCAAGGCGACGACCGGUAGCCGGACUGAGAGGUUGAAACGCGCGUCUGGGACGCCGCCCCCGCACCGGUUGCGGGGGGGACCAGGCGUGGCGAAUCUGCCGCGGGGGCGCUCCGCGUGGGCGGGCGCUGCCGUGGCGGGUAAGAGCCUCUUGUGAUGCUAACCUCCUGGUGGUGGGGAAAAAAACGACGCUCCCAAACAAGGAUUCGACUCCUAACUACCCGCCAGCAGCGGCCAUAAUCACCGGACGACCACCCGCCUCAUC
rnacentral:rRNA from 1 species